AGAUUAGCCAUGCAUGUCUAAGUACCAUACUCUUGAAAGUGAAACUGCAAACGGCUCAGUAAAACGGUCGUAAUGUCGUGGCCUGCAAGUCUACUUGGAUAACUGUGGCAAUUCUAGAGCUAAUACAUGCACCUAGUCUCCGAUCGAAGGGCUCUCCUGCGUUUACGCGUGGGUUUGUCUGGACAGACGAGCGCAUUUAUCAGUUUGAAGCCAGCGGGGUUCGUAUGGCCGCUUAACCGCGGUCGGGCCUUCAUUUGACUCUAGAUAACUUUGCCGAUCGAACGGUUGUAACUUCCUAAGACUUGGCCAGACAACGUCUGACCCAUCACACUGUCGACGGUUGGGACUGUGCCCACCAUGGUGAUUACGGGUGACGGGGGAUCAGGGUUCGAUUCCGGAGAGGGAGCAUGAGACACGGCUACCACAUCCAUGGAAGGCAGCAGGCGCGCAACUUACCCAAUCUCGACACGAGGAGGUAGUGACGAAAAAUAUCAUUCGGGGCUGUGAAGAGGUCUCGUUAUUGAAAUGGGCGCAAUGUAGGCAUUUGCGCGAGGAACAAUUGGAGGGCAAGUCUGGUGCCAGCAGCCGCGGUAACUCCAGCUCCAAUAGUGUAUAUAUAUGUUGUUGCGGUUAAAACGCUCGUAGUUGGAUCUCGAGAUCACUGGGUGGUAGGGCCGUUAGGGUAUACGGCUGGUGCCCGCGGGGCGUCCCGACCGAAUGCGGACAACCGCUUCGACCGCUGGGCGUUGUCGCGUGGCCCGGUCACCUGGUCCCCGCUCAAAGGUUUCAACGUGCACGGUCUGGUCCGCCUUCCUGCCAGCCCGCACUCGUUGCGGUAGUUCGGCGGGUUGUUUGCUGUGGCCGUUCCGAGCUUGUUACUGUGUAAAAAUCAGAGUGCUCAAAGCAGGCCGAGUCUAUCGCUUGGAUGGUGUUACAUGGAAUAGCCGAAUAGGGCCCCGGUUCCGACAUUUUGGCUGGCUUUUGAUAGGAAUUUAACGGGAGUAAUGAUUGAGAGUACCGGCGCGGGGGCAUCCGUAUUGCUCUAGGAGGGGUGAAAUCCGAUGAUCGGAGCAAGACGGCCGAAAGCGAAAGCAUUUGCCAAGGAUGGUUUCCUUAAUCAAGAACUAACGUCAGAGGUUCGAAGACGAUCAGAUACCGUCGUAGUUCUGACCCUAAACUAUGCCAACUGGCUGUCCGCCAAACGUAGUGCUAUCUUUAUUGUCUGUGACGGGGCGGGUGGCCUACUCCCGAAAGGAAAGUCUUCGGGCUCCGGGGGAAGUAUGGUUGCAAAGCUGAAACUUAAAGGAAUUGACGGAAGGGCACCACCAGGAGUGGAGCCUGCGGCUUAAUUUGACUCAACACGGGGAAGCUUACCCGGUCCGGACACUGGUAUGAUUGACAGAAUCGAGCUCUUUCUUGAUCCAUGGGGUGGUGGUGCAUGGCCGUUCUUAGUCCGUGAAGCGAUUUGUCUGGUUAAUUCCGCUAACGAGACGAGACCCCAGCCAGCUUAAUAGUUUCCCGGUCCCUUUUCGGGGCCGCGGUUAGAGAGGAGCGGGUCGUUCACGCGGCCGCGCAUGAUCUCGGUACUUCUUAGAGGGACGGGUGGUUAAGCCAAACCACAGGAAGUUGGGUCCAUAACAGGUCUGUGAUGCCCUUAGAUGUCCGGGGCCGCACGCGUGCUACAUUGGUGGAGUCAGUGUGGACUUCUGUAAGCGCUAAGUUAACGAAAGCCAACUCCGAGAGGAGCUCUUUGGAACUCAGCCAAGUUUCAUCCCGUAGUGGGGAUUGAGGUUUGAAAUGCACCUCAUGAACGAGGAAUUCCUAGUAGUCGCUCGUCAUCAUCUGGCGUCGAUUGCGUCCCUGCCCUUUGUACACACCGCCCGUCGCUACUACCGAUGAGUGGCUUAGUGAGCCGUUUGGACUGAAAAAUUCCCUUGAGGUUUAUGACGGGAAGUUCGGCAAACUCUGUCAGUUAGAGGAAGUAAAAGUCGUAACAAGGUUUCC
rnacentral:rRNA from 1 species